AGAAAACAGGUCAACAACUCUUUCAUGUUGUCUUCUUGCCUUGAUGCGCAAAGCUUUUCCAUAAAUAGAAAAUACAACUGUGAUGUGCACUGUAGUUAAACAGACAGCUAGCUAUGGUUGCUAGCUAACGUUAGCUACUUCAAAAGUUUCCUAAGAUAACACGCUUAGCUGGCUGUCAACCUAGAGUAAAUCACUCACCCAGCUCAAGAUGCGGACUAUGGUUUGAGGUUGUUUAACAAAGCUCAUAAAAUCGAAGUCACCUCCGGACAGCGAGGCCCCAUAGGCACCAGAUUCCAUUUUUUAUAUAUAUUUUUUUAUGCCGAUUAAUAUGUCCCAACUUCAGCUAGAAAAUGACUAUGCGCAGGUCUCAUUUGUGAGGUUUUGUUUUCACUCUCAUUUCCUGAAGAGUUAAAGAACCGCCCCGGACAAUGACCACGUCAUCUCUAGGAGUACUGCUACUCUCACAGUAACCUUAUGGCCAUAGUGUUCAGUAUUGUCACAUUAUCACACAUUUUCAAAGGGUUUGUACAAAAUCAAUAAGCAUCUUUCCUCUCUCUAUGUGGCUGUGUCUCCUUACACACACCCCAUUGUGUACACAAUGGCUUGUAUCUUUAUUAACUUGUUAUCAACUUCAUUUUCACAAGCUUUGAGAAUAAUAGAUAGGCUUAUGUAGCCUAGUGGCUGACAUUAUGGUGUAGAAGAGAGGAAGAUAAAGUAUAAUUCUGGCUAUAGUGUAUAAUAUAUAAUUCAUCGUUAUUGUCAAGGCUAUAGCUCAUCAUCAAGGCAGUGUUUGCAAUUAAACCCCUAGGAACAACCACCUUCCAUAGGCUAUGAUGGUGGCAUCCACAGGAGGUUGGUGGCACCUUAAUUGUGGAGGACAGGCUCAUGGUAAUGGCUGGAGCAGAGUUGGUGGAAUGGUAUCAAAUACAUCCAGCACAUGGUUUCCAUGGUUUCCAUGUGUUUGAUGCCAUUCCAUUUACUCCGUUCCAGACAUUAUUAUGGUCUGUCCUUCCCUCAGCAGCCUCAACUGGCCUCCCAAUCAGCAUGCUACCUUUUGAUUGGGACACAGGCUGUGUAAUGUGCUUUGGACAUGAAAACAUUGCACAUUGACCACCAAAUAGAAAACAUUUAUUGGUGUUGUUGUGAGGUCUGCAUAUCACUGUUAUUCACGUCAAUAUUUUAGAUUCUCUAAUAUCGUCUCAAACAACUGCCAUCAUAUCCCACUAAACUUCAUUCAUAAUGUAGGUUUACCACUAGAGGGCAGCAGAAGCACACACAAGGCAUUCCUGCUGUGAGAGACAGACCGUUUAUUAUGAAUUAUAUAUUCACUUCAUUUUAUUCUUUAGUGAUGUGCCAAUGCAUUUUAGUUGUGCACCACUGUAAUGCAGGAUUGCAAUUAGAAUGUUACAUUGACUUACAAAAUGUAUUCAAACUGUCUAGAAUAAACUUGACAUUCAUUUGGAAAUAUUUUAUUAACGUUUUCGAAACUUUUCGCAUAAUGAACACACCUCUAAUGAGGAGAAUGUAUUUAAUUGGUUGAAUCUGCGCCAGAGAAAGCCGCUCGAGCUUAAAGUUGAUUGGUGAUUUGGGGCUGUGCAGUCUUGAAAAAAUGAAGUCUUCAGAAAUGUUCCUCUGAAUUCCUGUUGAAGAAGUUCCUGAUAACAUGUGAACAUGGCACAUUGUCUGUGGUGAGGAUCUUUGGGAGGAUGGAGGACGGAGGAAGCAGUACACUAGUGGUCUGUGGGAGGAACCACUUCCUCUAUAGUCUUCUUUUGAUUGUGACACAACCCUUCCGUCAGUCUUUUCUUCUUCAUAUUUUGGGUUUGGUAGAUAAUGAGUUGAGAGUGUAAGUUGGUCAGACAAAGUCCUAACUCCUAAACCCACCCACUAAGAGCUCCUAAUAGUUCCCUCUCCUGGGAGCUGGAAGACAAGACUGGGACGAUGCACUAACUACAGUAUAUACCACAACAGUACCUCUGUUCCACCAAUCCUGUCUUCUUGGUGUGCUCCCCUAUGCUUCUGUCUGUGAUUGGAAAAGGGUAAGUCCAUGAUCCAGACAGACAGGUGUGGCCCCACAGAGUGAAGACCAGGAGGAUGGCAUACAGUGUGGACUUCAAUCUGAGACCUAUAAUGGAGCUUGAAUUAGAGAGUCUUAGGGGUGAUGAUACGGCCCAGGACUCUAUAACGGGAACAGGUCUGGAGAGUGGCAGUCGUGAAACCCUGGAAAUGGAGGUCCUUACAACAGAAGGCAGAGGUA